UGGUCUACAAGCUCACUAAGACUGAAAUUUUUGGCUAGUGCAAGAAAAGAUGAGAUUGAAAGUGUUAUUGUUUUUGGACCUAUUGAAGCUAACAAAGAUUACUUCUGACAAUCAAGUACCUCCCUAAUAAGCUCUUUGUUGAAAGUGCUAUUGAAAAAAUACAGAACACAUGCUAGAGCAUUUUAAACCAAGACAAGUCUAUUAUUUUACACUUACUAUGAUUUUUGUGAGUGCCUGUUCUGUAUAGCCACUUGCAAUUAAAAUGUGCAUAGAAGCAUGAUAUCCAAAUCAGUUGGCAAGUCACACCAUUAUGGUGGGUUUAUUGAAUCUCACAUCUCUUGUUGUUACACUUUGUCUUGACGACAAAGAAUGAGGGUCGUUUCCAUUACAGAUUCUAGUCUAUAAUCAUAUUUCUAAAUUACAGCUAUUGUCUGAAAUACACAUUCUGUACAAGAUUAUUUGAAUCUCAGAUGUACAGUGUUUCAUGCAGCAUUUGUAGCAAAGCAAGAGACUCUCCCAGUAAUACACUGUUGUACACCUCCUGCAGUAUUCUACCUAAUAGGUGAAUAAAUUUCUGUUGUGACAGAUAAUUAAUUGAGGCACAGCUACUAACCAUGUGCACUACAUCCCAUACAUCAACCAAAAAAAGGCCGACAAGAACGAUAUAUCUAAGUUUGCCUGUAAAUCUCCAACUGAAAGCUAUCAUGUGCAGAGGUCGUUGGUGCAGAUCUAUAAUUAUCAUAAUUGCAACUUCGACAGAAGUUGAAAAUUGUCCAAAACUAAGACUACCUACAUACAAUGCUGCGGUCCAUUCAGGUACGUUAAGAAUGCCGCAGUAACAUGGUGCAGCUCGUAGACUACUUGUAGGAUUUACACGUCGUGAAUUACAAGGACUAGUUUAUGCUUUCAUACUAAAAUUUCGUAGAUUCAUUAGUUAGUCGUAAUCCAUGACUUUUACCGAUGAGUAGAGGUUCACGAUCUAGAUCCACAAUCUGGACAGAUGUACGUGAUUAAUUAGAUGUUAACAACAAAGGCCCAUGACAGAUCGCACGAACUCAAGUAAGCAAUUAUCCAAUUUCUAUGAAAGCAAUACGCGAAGAAAAAUCUUUCAAAAAUAAUUUACGAUCUUUAAAUAAUAACAGACACAACAUGUGAUCUAG
rnacentral:lncRNA from 1 species